CUUGGGUCUGUCUGUUCGUCUCGGAAAUUCUUUAUGCAUAUAAAUUUCCUUCCAGUCCCGAAUUUACAUACCUAUCUUCAGACGAGCAUAGCAGCAGUAGCUUGUGUGUGUGUGUGUGUGUGUGUGUGUGUGUGUGUGUGUGUACUUCUGGCAUAAAAGUGUGGAGCUACGAAAAAGAGGGAGGGAAAGAGGACGUCCAAUCCAUCUUUCCUUAUCGCUGGGCGCACUUGCACCAUAAGGGAACGACGGAGGUCUAUGGAAAGAAAAGCAGCCAGAGGAAAACGAAUCUCUUCUACAUUUUAUACUUUUGUUAUGUUUCCUCUCUUGCCGCCUUCGCUCUCUGGUUGGCUGGUUUGUCGUACAGGGGUACCAAUCCAACGGAAUGGAUGCUUCAGUUUCUGAAAGGCUCUUAUCUUUUUUCUUCUUCCUUUUCUCAUUUUGUUUCAUUUUUUUGUUUUUUUGUUGUUGUUGUUGUCAGUUUGAAAUGGAAAGGUACGAAAGAGAGCAUAGAAUAACAGCAACAACAAAAAAAAAAAAAAAAACUAAUCAAGCUCUUGGGCCUGCUCAUCGUCGAAUGAUGACUGAUCGGUACAACCAGAGUAGAGUAAUGGAGGCUGGCCACAUACCUCUCCUACCCUGUAAUUAAAGGGUGGCAAAAGAGGUUGAAUCCAUUUGAAAUUGGGAUGCCCUCCCUCUUUGGCAAUAAUACCUGUGUAAACAAGAUAGACUACAAACACCCCUCCAUUUAACUACAAGUAUCUCGAAGUAAAUCGGUUCGCAAUGUUAUUGUUUACGCAUUUAAAAUCCCCCCCCCCCGCAUUUUUCAUGAGAUUCGCUUGUUCAAACUGUUUUCUAAGCCAUUCGAUGCUGAAUUCUUUCUAUACAUGUGAAUCAAAAUCGAUUUUGCAGCCAACAAUCCCAUCUUUGUUUUGACGACGAUUAGCCACAAUGUAAGCAAACGCUCAUAUUUAGUCGAUUAGCUAUUAAGAAAUUAAAGAAAAAAGAAAAAGUAACGUUUGGAAUACAGAGCUGGGGGAUCCAGACAAGUUAGGGAAGCAUUUGUGUAUAGUCUAUAUGCAUUUGUGUGAUGUACGAGGCGGGUGGAGCGACUAGGGCCGUUUGAUACAGCUAGUGACAACAAUUGCGCUUUUUCACACGGAGUCUAUGUUUGCGCCCACAAAAACCGACAAAAGACGACGACAACAAACAGACAAAUAUACAAUCAUACCUGAAUAUCCAUUCUCACUCUUUUCUCUCCUGCCUUCGCUCAUGGGGUGUGUGUGUGUGUGUGUGUGUGUGUGUGUGUGUUGCACACAUCUAUCUGGAUAAGGAGUCAUAUAUACAUUGGGCGAAACUAUGGGAGAAUAAAAAAGAGGAACCAUGUGUAAUAUUUCCCGCCCUCCCGCUGUUCUACAGCUUAACCUGACUGUAAAAAAAAAGGUAAAAUAUUCAUGGCGCAACGGACCUGAGGUGGAAAGCGAGGUGGAAAAAUGAAAAGAGUAUAUUAUACGUAUAUCUGGCUGCACUUAAAAAUAGUCCGUCUCUCCUUCGUGUUAUACAGGCUAUACGCACCUCUGCAACUGUCUCUAUAUUCAAAUGUUUCUUUUCAUUUUGUUUCCCGCCUAGGCUAGCCAAUGCCUCUUUUCAAACUUGUAGUCCCUAGUAUACGAGGUGGUACAAGCUACUGAUUCGCUCCACCUGACACUAUUGUAAAAAUAAAGAUUACAAUCCUAGUGUGAAUCGUCCGCCUUCAAGUUGACCAUAAAGGCAAAUGUUGCAUUGAGAAAAUUCUAUACGUGCUUCCUUGUUGUAUAUUUUUUUUUAGCAAAGGGCGUUCCCCGUGCGAACCCAAAACACCCUACUGCGUUCUUUAUGGCCCCCUUAUGUGUACACGCACAGUGAUACAUAUCUAUAGUGCACACACGAGUUGAUGCACAAGGACGGCGAGUAUUUUCAUUAAAUGUGUUACAACUAAUGGCGCUAAUAAGGAAAAAACUGGAAAAGUUGCUCCUUUUGGCAUUUCCCACUAGUAAUUGGAAAUCAGUACAUUUACUGAUGUUAUUAAAAUUUUAGUUUUUAAAGCGUUUAGCUGUAGUUAUUGGUUGGACUCACUUUACAAAUUUAAACAUGCAACGCAUAUAUGCCUGCAUGAUUUGUCCUCGCCUUGCAAUGCUCUUUACGUCCGCUUACGUAUAUAUGACGUAAAUACACAUUACUCCCGUGCUCCCCGCAGCGAGAUCUACUAGUAUCUGUUUCAACCGUAUUUAAUGUGGAACAAAAGGCCUAAACCUAGAAACCAUUCCAAUGAUCAUUGAUCCCCUCUUCCCGUUAAAUGAACAUGUUUUUAAAACAUAUA